UUCUUUCUAUAGAUCAAACAAGGAAACACCCGCGACGACGAUUAGAUCGCCAUGUAGAGCCGCGGGACACCGCCGAUUUUUGUUGUAGAUCAAACGAUGAGAUAUCCACGGCGACGACUAGAUCGUCAUGUAGAGCCGCGGGACACCGCCGAUUUUUGUUGUAGAUCAAACGAUGAGACAUCCACGGCGACGAUUAGAUCGCCAUGUAGAGCCGCGAGAUGCCACAAAAAGAAGUGAACAAAGAGAAGAAAAAUAAAUAAAAGAGAUAAAUGAUCAUAUGCAACCUUCAUAUGAUUUACUCACCAUAUGGCUGUGCCAUCGACGCCGGCCACGGAGGGAAACGCUAGACGAAAAAUGGAGAUGUGUGUAUGUGUGAGUGCUGGGAUGGAGAUGAUACGAAGUGUGUGUGUGUGUGUGUUAAAUGGUGGUGAGAUGAGCGUGUAAAUGGUGCGUGCGUUGUGAGUGAGCUGAACCCCCUUUGCAGUCACUAGAGCAGCCCUUUUAUAGCAUCGUCUCCACCGGCGAAUAGAUAAAAAGAUAAGUACGAGAGAUUAGCAUCGUCGUCGCUGCCGUUAAUACUUAGUAACAAACACUUGGCCAAUACUUAUCUCUAGUCUCUCGGUGUUGUUGAACCGAGAAAACAACAAACACUUGGCCAAUACUUAUCUCUUCGUGGAUCUAGUCAAGUCCAAUUGAUUUAGCUUUUUUUAUCUCCAGCCGCUACACACCUUGCUUUGUACCAGUUUAAAUAUAUACGCGUCCAACUAGCCGAUGGCAUCGUACAAGAUUUCGUUCACGUUAUACGCACCAGACGUUAUUGCUGGGAUAGCUGCUGAUCAGUGGGUCCGUGCAUGCACAUGUGGUUCAUUCUAUUGGCAAACUGGCUGAUCCAAUAAACGAUUUGACCCAUACAAGUGAAUAUGCGUCAACGUGACUAGACCAGAUAAUUAUUAAAUAUAUAUAUUUGCCUCGCAUGAUGAGAGAGAAAAAAAUGGAGUCAAACAAAUGCCCCUCGCCAAGUUGAGUUCAAAUGCGAAGCAAUUUGGACUUAACUUGGCGAAAUAUUUCCAUACCUCAUCUGGAAAAGUCAAUCUCAACUGUCCGAGAUAACUGAGACACCCAAACCAUCGUAGAGACUCAAAGCCUCCUUUAGAUCCGCAACAACUCAGCCAACCUGCAGAUUCUAUAUCAACAACCAUCAUUAUCUUAAACUGACUGUACUAUAAAUACCCAUGCACUCCUCGGCUCAGCCCUUAAAACUUUUCUCCCAAGUUCCUGAUAUACGCAGCCGCACCCCAAUCCACGCAGCAGAACAAGGCUUCCUCCAUCGUAACUCUCAGGUAAAGCUGAAUAUCUUGUUUUUGCAAUUGCUUUCUCUCUCCUUUUAAUAGAUUAUAUAUGGGUGCUAGCAUUGUCAGCUAGCAAUCUUCUGUAAAACGAUCUAUACUAGAUUUCAGCCAAACUGCAGUUGAAGGCGGAAAAAAAGUAGAGUUGACAAUGCAAACUUCUUGAUUGGUUAAAGGCCACGGUUGCUCACUAGGCGGCUCUGCAUAGAGCGAUCAAGCUAAAACAGAUCUUGCGCCAAGUACAGCCACAGCUGUAAUUAUCCCGAGGACAGGGGCGUCGUCUGCUGUACUUUGUAUGUAGUAGUCUUCGUUAGGCUGAGUCGAAGGGACAGUUGACAAGAGAUAGCAACCUGAAGCACAACGAUUUCAUCUGCUGCACUUGCAUCACGGAUUUCCACCAGAUUGUUCUGAAACCAAAGGAAGUUGCUGGAACUAGCGCAUGUAUUCGCAUCAUCAUAGCUUGCCACUGGAUGUCGUCCUUCUUAUUGAUUGCAUAGUCUUCGUCAGGUUCAGUUUCACUCAGUUGAAUAUCUUUGAGAAAUAUUGCGCUGUGUCAUGACAGAUUCACACCUUGAUAAAGUGUCCCAGUAGAUGGCAAAGGUGGCAUAUUGUCGCUUCAGAAACUUAUCGAGUACGAUGCCUAAAUAUUGAAACUGAAUUAUAUGACUGCCUUUUUUUUUAUCCAUUUGACAGUACCACCAUCUACCCACAUCUCUGUUGUAACCAUUUUUUUUACUCUUAUGCAGUUAAGAAAUCUUCCUUGUUCUUGUUGAAUGCAUAAUAAUUUCUUUCGGCGCCAUGGGAGCAGGCCCUUUGCAGAUCGGGAAGGGCCUAGGGAAGAAUACGACGGGCAUAUCAUCGCUGGGGAGCGACUGCAAAGGAACAGAGACGACCACCACAGUUUCGGUCGUGGGAGGGGUGGUUAUAAUCCUCUGUUUUACCGCCACAAUUUCAGUCAUGGAAGGAGAGGCUAUAAUCAUCGGCACUACCGCCACAAUUUCAGUCGUGGUAGGGUAAACCACAAUUCUUUGCCUUACCGUCACACUGUUACUCGGGAUUUUAGAACAGAACAUUCUUCUGAUUACGAUCGUCAGCACAAGUCUGAACUUGACAUCUCUGAUAUGAGUGAUAAACGCACGAAAAGCACUACAGAGGGUGGAUCCUUGGCUCAAAGAGAAAAACAGAAGGUAAAUGCAAACCUACUUCUCCACCAGUCCGUAUAUUUUAUAUGCUAUUCCCUUUCUUACUUAAACUCCCCUUUUUUUAAAAAAAGAAGGCUCGUCAAGGCCGUGCUUCCUCUCAAACUGAAACUAGCCACAUCAGUGAUGGUGGCACAGAUAUCGACAAAAGCGCAGGCGACGAUGGUGAGGGCGUCAUUUGGGAAGAAUCGCAUGAGGUUUAUAAUGAUGACGCACUGAAGUUACUUGAUGUUGACAAAGAUAUUGAGGAUGAUGAUAUUGAGCCUUACAUUACUGAAGCCGCUAACUUAUUGGGCUUUGAGCGCACACAUAGGUUGAAGAUCCAAGCCGUGCCCCUUGACAAAAGCAAAGUCCCCACACCUCCUCAACAGUUAACGAACAAAGUCCUCCGUUUUGAAGGAUUUCAGUAUAAAAAUGAACUUGUUACAGCAGAUCAGGACACAACUUUUGUUGUUUUAGAGCCAAUUUCAAAAGAGGCGCCAUCAAUCAUUAUUAACACCCUGGCACAGGAGUUCAUACGCAAUCCUGCGAAGCAGUGGCAUAACGAUUCUUCCCUUCAACUUUGUACUGCAAUCCCCUAUAACCAUAAACUGUUGCUUUGGGCUCGGAUGAUGCUCAUAUCAGAGGAAGACAAGGAAAUGUUGCUCAAGGCUGAUAUCUUCCGUGGUGUAUUGGCAUCUCUUUAUCAUGUUCCGAUCAAUCCUUCACUACUUGCUGCCUUUCUUACAUUUUGGAACACUAACGGACAUACCUUGAUUACUUCUCAAGGGGAGAUGGGCUAUCCCCUUAUAGCUAUGUAUGAUGCUAUGGGCAUUCCAAUUUCUGGGCACCUUUAUGAGGAAUAUUUCCCAUUGCCGUCUGAAGUUUCAGAGAUUGUAAAAGUCCUUCACUCAGCCUAUGCUGAUAUCUAGGUGUUGCAUCAGAAUGGAAGCUCUUGUAAAGUCACUCUUCAAAAUUGGUUGGAUUAUUUUAUAGGUAUGAAAAUAAUAUAUAUAUUUUUACAUAUACUUCUAUUCAACCAUAGUGUCUUAACCUGGACGGCAUAUAUCAUUGUAGGAGAAGAUCUCGGAGCUGUUGGCAAAACUGAAGCAAGGGUGCCAAGUCAUUUCUAUGCUGAUCCUGAAGAUCCCUUGCUCUCUCAUCUAGAGUUUCGUACGUUGUCUUUGCAGAAACGCUGGUCGGCUAGAUUUGGCAACCAUGUAAUUUUUUACAAGCAGACAUAUGAACGAGAAAUAUACCGUGCCGCCUUCAUCGCAGCUUGGCUAUGCACAUACUGUGUUCCUAUCAAUAUGGGGUCCUUUAUUCGGCCGGAGGUCUUCUGUGCUGCAGCUAGACUUGCUCAAGGGAUCCGUCUUGCGAUUGGUACGGCAAGCAUGGCCUAUCUUUACCAAAGUCUUGAUAAUGUUUGUCAAGAGAUUAUAGCCGGAUCAAAGUCAGCAAGUGAGUGCCAACUGCCAUUACCUGCACAUUUUAUUAUGGGCUGGUUCUCCUCUUAUUGGAAAAUGACACCUUCACAACCAGCGGUGAAUCCAAAAAUUACUCACUUCCCGCCGUUCGUGACGGACGCAUGGAGAAUCACAUCUACAACAAUUGAUCUGUUCAAAGCCCAUCAGUUGUUCCUUGACUCAGCUGCAGAUAGCAAAUCUCUGCUUUCCUUAUCUUUCUUGGGGAAAUCUCGCAUACGUUUCCCUCAGUCAGAGUCUGAAUUUUUGAUAAGUGAUGCACGAGAAGCCACAGAUGGUGGACACCGUACUAUCCGUAUUACAACUAUCGACAUGCUAAUCAGUUGUGGUGUGGGUGCUGUUACACAUACUCAAUGUCAACUCCAUCACAACUUGGUAUAUUCCCCUCAUCGUUUUGCUCGGAUGCAUGGGUGUGAUCAAGAUGUCCCUGACUUCCUGAUGGAAGGACCCAAUGGAGAAUAUCUUCUGCAGUUUUCUAGUUAUUUGAAGGGCACCCGUGAGGAAACAAUUGAGCACCUUCAGCGACGACACCUGGCUUACUACUUUCCAACCGGUCAUCAGCUUCAUUUACAGCCCUUGUCACGGCGAACCAAGCGCUCUAUUGAGUAUGUGACGUGGUGUACAUCAGCACUUGGUUUCCUCACUAAAGCUGAUAUGAUCUGUUCAGGUCAAGAACCAUCAUCUGCUCUCCAGAAAGGGGAGAUUGAAAUACCUUCUAACACAGGUACAUAUUCCUCUUGUAGCAUUUUCUUUAAGUCUAGCUAACAAAAAAUAUAUUUGGCUGUAGCAAUUUCACGUACAUUGAAGAUCCAGAAGAAAAAUUCAACAAAGAUGAAUCUUGCCUCCACUAGUGACGAAGGAAAUAAGGCAGCCCCUAAUUCAGGUAACUGCAGAAUUUCAUUGUUCAUACUAAUGUCAUGCUGCUGUUCUCUUGUCUUUUCAGGUGAUAACAUUUUUUUAAUACAGGUGUUCCUACCAUCGCGGCAUCACCAAACAGAAGAGGACUCGAGCUAGUUGCCGUAACAAGAAAAAUAAAAUGGCCCCUGAAUGUAAAAGAUAUUCCUCUUCACUGAAAACUAACUAUUCUUUAUUGAAACAUUGCAAGUCGAGCAGUGUACUGAUCAUAAAAAUUGUAUCCCCUUUGUAGCUUCACUCGAGCCUGCCACUGUCCAUUCAUCGAUAGAAAAUCCUCAGGUUUCAGAUAUCAAGACAAAUAUGACUUCGCCCGGAUUAGGUAAUGAGAAUUGUUUCUUAGCAUUAAAUGACUGUCUUUUGUAUGUUCUAAACUUGCUCCUGUCACAACCAUGUAUAUCUAUGAACAGAACAAAUAGCUGCCAAACAGUCUGACACACUGCCUACUGGAAAGAGAAACAAAUCCAAAGCGAUGGCUGCUCGAUUCCUCAGAAUUUCCCAUGCUCUCAUAACUGAUCACGGCAUAAAGAAGGAUGUGGUUACUACUGACUCUCGUGAUCCUAUAUCCGCUGACAGCGGAAUGUCACCACCCCAAGAGACCAACAUUCUUCAGACAGUUGGAGAAAAACGUUCCUCCCCUCACCGUGUAGCUGAAGCAGAGAAAUGUAGCUUGGAGAACCUCAACACUGAAGACAAACAUCUGGAUGUGACACUUGAACAUGCAGACCAACAGCAUGAUAGCCCCCUGAAGAAACAGCGUUUGGAUCGUCCAGGUAACUAGACCAAAGUUUGUUGUUUUGGUAGUACUGACAUAUAAUGUAAGCACACAAAAUCUGCCCCGCUCACUGAACUUUUCUCAUUUCUCAUUCCAGGUGGAGAACAUGACUUGGAGAUGGCUUUGUCCAAAGCCGCAACACUGAAGUCCAGUAUGGACCAGACCAUAAAACGCUUUUUGGAGAACGUUGGUGAUGAAUUCAUCAGCCUUAAACGCAAUUCCGAGCCGAAGGAGCUCAACAAAUAUAAGGGACGUAGCAGGAUUGUGGUGCCCCAGUAUGCUGACCCUAGUCUGAGAGAUAUGAUGGUCUAUGUUCAGUCUGACCUUAAGAAGAUUCAGAAGUGGAUCGCUGCACCGAUAUUGGACAAAGUUGCUUUGAGUACACGGAUUGCAACAAUCUUGAACCGGUGGAGAACCAUGUUACAAACCAAAAUCCCGCAGGAGGUACAGGAACUCAUGAAUGAGUUAGAGUGCUUAAAGAUGAAUCUUGAUAGCAAGUCAGAUCAUGCUGUUCCCUUUAGUAUUUUCAAUCUGCGAGCAGAUGAAGAGCAUAUCAAAGAGCAGUUAAAAAUGGGUAAGAAGUCUCGUGAGUCCAUCAUGGUGGGAUACGACUCUCUUAAGGAUUACGGCAACGUAUGGGGCAGCCUCGAGGAUGAAGUGAAGAAAAGGAAAGAGGAAUAUCUCGAAAAGAUCAAGGAGCUGAACAAUGCCAUAGGAAUCGCCAGAUCCAAGCUCUCCCUGGAAAAGGAGUAUGAAACUAGGCUCAUUCAGCUUCACGGCCAGUAUGACGAAAUAAUGAGCGAAGCACACACUUCCGUCUCUCGUUUGGAAGAAACCCUGGCACAAGGAAGUUCCUGCUUGGAGAGCAUUCAUAAGGCUAUUGGGGAAGCUGGGAGCCAAGGUGACUCUGAACUUCCUUCUGGUCUGCGUGAGCAACUCAAGUUCAUGGAAUCCUGCGCAGUGGAAGGUGUCGAACAGGAUGACGAGUAAAACCAUAUUCAGCGUGUUCCUUUUACUUCAAAAUCAUUCAUGCUUUUUUUCUCUUUUUUUUAAGAAAGCUCGCGUCGUAGUUUGCUUUUGUCAGCUGCUGGAUUUAUCACUGUAAUCCGCCUUAUUAUUUAUCAAUAAAGGAACACAUUCCUCUUUGCUAUCGCUGUUAUACUUGUACAUUUUUUUUACUAUAUGCUUUAUAUGACUGAAUUCCUUUGUGGGACUCCUUAUUCUUGAGCAUGAAACGGCAAAACCAGGCUAAACUCUUGGUCAACGGAAACAUGUCUUUUGAGAAACGCGCAAGAAUGGCUUUCUUGUGCUGUAUGUCCAUCCUAACCUUCUGUACUAGUAAUUGUGAAGUAUCAUAUUAUCGACUUUAUUCAACAAAAUUAUUGCUUGAUUGCCAUCAUGUAAAUAGAAAUAAUAUUGGGUGAGAACACAGCGAAAUUCCCUGCCGUGCUGCAAUUCGAUCGUGGCUCAUAGCGUAAAACCAUACUAUAAGCUGACAGUAUACAUAUUAUUCAGGCUGAAUCAGUAGCAGGUGAGGCCAUAGCGAAAAUCCAUGCUGCGACCACGCCAUGAAAAAUCAAAAUAUCCAAUUGAGACCACGAUGGUGCCAGCCAAAAGGAUGAUUGUACUUAAUGACUGUCAUGGUAUGUAUAAUCCGGAUUCUGGCGAAGUACCAUGCCAUUAUCGUGAACUUCUCUGCGACCAUGCUACUGCUUUGGUGCCAACCAAAGAAUUCCAUGCCUAAUCAUUAAAAGCAAAAUAAUCUUGAGCUGGGGCGAAAGAACCUGCCCUAAUUCAAGGGAAAUUAUCAAUUCUACUGCGACUAUUACAUGCUCAUAGUGCCAGCCAGUGGAAUCGAAUAGUUGCUGGGUUACGGCGAACACCAUGCCACUCCCAAUUUUUUUUAAAAAGUCAUCAUAGCGAAGAAGGUUUAGAACCAAAUAAAGUAUGAUUACCUCAAAUCGCAAUUUAAAAUACAUACAUGUCUUGCACCACUAAAUGCCAUAAGACUGAAUAAAAAGAGAUAAAAGGCAGGAAAAAAACACAGUGAUGGCAAACAGAGUUAUACGAACACCUUGUUUUUUUUUUGGUUUGUUGGUUGGUUUGUGGGCUCCACCUUCAAUUGUUAGACUAUGAGGUGACCCACGAGUAAAGUUGCAAGGGAUUCAUAUGCCUUUCAUAUGCCCAAGUGAUCAUCGGCCCGGACCUCGUGGUCGACGUAUAGAAGUGUGGAUUCAGACUUCUCAUGGCUGUCAUUGCUUUGUAUAACUCCUAUUUUUAUUUAUCACCCUUCAUGAAUGCUCUCCUCAGAUGCAGUUCUCAUGAACAUGUCUCUUGGACUUUAAACUCCACACCCAAAAUUGUUGCUCUGCCUGACCUCACUCAGGCGAUCAAAUCCACACGCAACUAAAACUCAUGUGCCACAGUCUGAACAUUGGGAAGGGGAGUCCUUUAUUUUAUUUUAGGGCGAACUGUGGCCCUUUUUGUUUUAUUUAAAAAAUUUAGAUGAAAAAAUUAAUCCAUGAUCAGCAAUGAGGAUGCUGUAUGGACACCAAGAGAAAAAACUUUCUUUUUAUUACAUUCUCCUGAACUUGCCCUUGGGCUGCUAGGCAAAAUACUUCUUGAGGAACUUGCCAUUGAUAGGAGGCAUUGGACGCACACCCUCUUGAUCAAUGAGUUGAUAAGCGCCACCAUCAUAAACCUGUUCAAUAACAUAUGGCCCCUCCCAUUUGGGCUCAAAUUUUCCUUUACCUUUUCCUAUGAGCACAAUAGGACGCCGAAGAACCAGCACCAGUUCUCCUUUUCUAAAAACUCGCGGCUUGACGAGUUUAUCGUAGGCUCGUACCAUAUUCUUGCGAUAAAGCUCAAGAUUUUGAAGUACACGUAGGCGCCCCUCUUCAAUAGCGUCUAACUCCUGGUACCGUAAUUUGACUUGUUCAUCUUCUGUCAGCUCAUCACGUAUCGCCACACGGAGCGACGGUAUUUCAACCUCAAGUGGUAAGNNNNNNNNNNNNNNNNNNNNNNNNNNNNNNNNNNNNNNNNNNNNNNNNNNNNNNNNNNNNNNNNNNNNNNNNNNNNNNNNNNNNNNNNNNNNNNNNNNNNUGCACUGACAUAUGUAGGUCUGGGGUCUUCCUCGGUACCUAAAUUGAUUUCAACUAACUCAUCAAUAGUAAGCUGAAUAUCAUCUUCGAGUUGCUGGGGAGCAGGAGCAGCAUCGAGAACCUCUCCAUGAGCCACCGGCAUGGCCUCAUGCAUCUUGGAGAGGAGAUAUUGUUUAUUUCUCAAACCUUCACAAGCAUUUGCCGCGGCUUCAAAGGAACGUGGUUGAUACGGACAUGAAUAUAUUGGCAUAAGCUCGUCGUCAUCUGAAGAUGCUUCAUCUAAACCAAGAUAAUCUUCAUUUCUAACCGAAGAGGUCACGCAACUAUUAACUCGUUGUACCAUACAUAAAUCUUCAUCAUCAUCUGAAGAAGCGGCCUCAUUAUAACCAAGACCAUACUUUGGUUGAACUGUACUUCUCUUCCUAAUUAAAUUCUCCGCUUGUUCCCACCAUUCUUCACAAACAACUGGUGGUGGUGGUAGCCUGCUAUUUGGUUGUACCAAAAUUCCUGCCUUUUUUAAUAAUGGAAUCAUCCUGUCCUCAACUUUCAUAGUCAUGAGUGCUUCUUCAAUGGCAAAAACCCGAUCAGACUGCUUAUAUAUGUCAUCACAUGGUCGCUUUUCUGGGACCUUAUAAAAAAUAGUAGGCAAGGUGUUCUCACUUUAUUUUUGAACAGACAAAACAUCCAAUGGUGUGGUAACUGAAACAUAUAGUGAGGGGGUUGCAUAAGCAAAUCUGGAACCCUCAACGUUGUGCCUGAAGGUUCCUCAUCCAAUUUCUUUGUGAGAACCACAGGAAUAGCAGUCGUUGGAGCAUGUGCCUUUAACAAAAUAGGAGCAGUAACUGAUAAAGCGCGCCCUCUUGUGACCCCUACCUCCAUUGAUGAGCUAGUAGAUGAAGCAGUGUCUGUUGUUAACAAGACUGGCGUAGUCGCAGACAAAACCCGUCCUGUAGGCCUAGAUGAUGAACCUUCUGCUCUCAUAUUUGCAUUACCACAUUGCUGAUCUCGUGACUUCCUUAUCAAAGCAGUCUCUCUUGAGUGGGCUGAGCAAGGUGUGAUUAGAAAUUUCAUUUCCGUGGGGGAUGGUGUAGCAUCCGGCGUGACUAACACAUCAGCAUUAGGUGUUGUUCGUCCCUGCUAUUUCCCUGACUCGAUACUCGGGAAAUAAUAUUUAGCAUCGGCAUGGUGAACUUCUUGAAUUGUAUAAGGAGCAGUAUUCCCACCGAUACAUUGUUGUUCUCCAUUGCCAUCCAUGAACUUUAGGCAUUGAUGCAGUGUUGAAGGGACUACACGAUAUUUAUGUAUCCAUGGUCGCCCCAAAAGUGCAGAGUAUGAAGCAUUGGCCUCUAUAACGAAGAACUUAACUUUGAAACUGUAAGAUGCCAUCUGCAACUUAAGAGUGAUAACACCUAAGGCGGGCUUGGCAUGAUUAUCAUACCCACAAAUUACUACCUCGGUGGGGCUUAGAUCAUCCAUUAUGUACCCUGCUCGAGUUAAGCUUCGUACAGGCAGGAUGUUCACAGCAGAGCCAGGAUCGAUCAAUAUUCUUCGAAGAUGUGCAGCUCCAAUAUUUCCCUCAAUAUAGAGGGGGCGAUUGUGAUCACCAUGCUCCAUUAUUUGGUCCUCAUCAGAAAAGGUUAUCUGAUUAGCAUAGAGUAGAUUGUCAAAGAGUCUGUGCUUGGCCAUUGCCGCUUGAUAAUGUUCAGGCUUUUGCAAAGCUUUAAUAAGAGCCUCUCUAAGUUCCGGUAGAAGCACUAAUGCAUCAUAAACGCUUAGUAGUGCUGGAAUCCGCUUCAAAUGAGCAAUGCCAUUAUAUUCGACAUCAUGCUCUUUUGCCUCCUCGUCCCUCGACUUCUCUUGUUGAUUGUUCGAGACAGUUGCCUCCCUACUUGUGGAUGGUUUAUCUUUCUCUGCUCGGUACUGCUUACUUCUCAUGGGCUCCGGUAGUACCUUUCCUGCCCGCAAGUUCAUAUGUACCUCCAUUUCUUGUUUCUCCAGUGACGUAUCAGUUUGCAAUGCCUCACAUUCUUCCUUUGUGAACACUACUUCAGUCUCUGAGUCAUUUGUACUUCCACUAGAGGCAACCAUGUUGCAUGUAGCAUUCUCAGUACUUAAUUGUGGUCCAUCCGGCAAAUCAUUUUUUACGUCAUGGUGUGACUGGUCCCAGCUUUGCGGGAAAAACUGGGCUAAAGUGGGAUGUACACGCCUUGUCCGAGGAAAAGAUUCAUUCCCUUCAGACCUGGGAAUAAAUCUUGGCGGCAUACGGCGAUGACUCGGGUUGGGACUCCCUCUAUUUGCUGACGUAUAUUGUAAGAUGGACGGACAGCUCAUGGUUCCCUGAUGCACCUUUGUUUGAUUACGUCUAUGAUGAACUCUGCUCCAAGGGUGUGAGCUAUCUUCUGAAACUAUAGGUGUAAGCCGAAGUCCCUGAAACUGAUGUUGAACUUCAGAAAAUGGCAUCCAAUAUGCCUCUUCUGAACCAUGUUUCUGUAGUACCUCUGCUUUAUUAGUGGACACCAUGUUUACUUGAUGAUAAUCAGGAUUCACGGCUUGCGGAUCAAGAUUCAACUUCUUCUCAUCAAUUGCCCUUUGCAACCAUUCUUUAAAAGCGACGCAAUCUUCUACUACAUGACCAACGUAUCGAUGAUACGGGCAAUAUAACGGAUUGUCUGUCAUUCCCGCCUGGUCGGGCCGCCGUGGUUCAGGCAAGUUCAAAGCCCCUUGUUGUGAUAGCUGAUUAAAGAAAUUUUUAACAAACUCUCUCCUGAAUAUAUAUUUCUUUUUAAGCAAUUCUUGAAUACUAGGGCGGGUUCUCUGCCCCUGUUCAUUCCUUACUCCAAGAGCCUGCAUAUUUUGGCGAGGUGCUACAGCCAUCGUAGAUAGCCUGGUAGUAUUACUUUCUGCUUGUAUUUUAGGCUUAUUCCCAUUAUUAAAUGGUUUUGCCGUUGACUGAAACUUCUUCGAGUAAUCUGAAGUGCCUGCAUUUUUGUAUAACUCCAUAAUAUGUGGAGCCUUCUCAAAUUCUAAUUUGGUGGCAGCAACAGCAUUACCAAGUGCUCUGAAAGUUUUAGGCUCGCGCCUAGAAACCUCUAACGACCAAUGUUGCUGCAUUCCGUGCACACACAUGUCGACAGCAUCUUCUGGGUGCAUCUCUCUAGUCAAGCGCACAUAACUGUUACGAAAUCGGACGAUAUAGUCAUCUAUCGUUUCAUCUCUUCUUUGUUUAAGCUGUGACAACUCCAAAAGGGAUGUAUCUUUGCUCAUGCUAAUGAAAUGAGAUUUAAAAAGAUCCUUCAUUGUUUGCCAACUGCGUACUGAACCAGCAGGUAAGCGACUAUACCAAUGAAAGGCCGGACCUGUCAAUGAUGAUGAAAACUGACGAAGUAAAAGUGAGGGCGAAUUGGCUGUGUCACCACACGCUGCUUCAAAAUAGACGAGGUGUUCCCUUGCAUCACCAUUACCAUCAAACUGCCUGAAUUUUGGUGGACGCCAUCCAGCAGGAAAAGCUACCUUGUCAUGCCACGCCUCAUAUGGCUUCUCCAACUCACUUUCAAGGGUUCUAGGUGUUUGUUCUUCUGCAAUUUGCUUCAUUUUUCUGUUGAUCAACUCUUCAGCGAUGUCAUGAUAAUCUCUUAGUGUCCCUAAUGCAGGAGCUGCUGAUAUAGGAUGUGUAGGUGCAAUUGGCAUAUUUAGAUGCACCCCUCCUGUGAAUUGAGGCUGCUCAACUCCACCUGUUGCACGAGGCGUAUGCUGGUGUUGUGCCAUAGCUUCCAACUCGGCAAUUUGUGGAUCCACCACUUGUGGUAGAGGAUUAGCAGAUUGCGUCCCAUUUACAGCAAGGUUUGCAAUCAUAUUAAAUAGUUGAUCGAUCUUUGUAUCAAUAGCAUCCAUCCUUCUACGUGUUUCCCCGUUUAGAGCACCUGAAGUUCCUUCUUGAUGGUGUAAAGAUCGAGCCUUCUCUUCUUCAGUCACAACUGGUCCUGGUGGCAAGUCGUGUUGUUUCCCUGCAUCAUCUUGUGCAAUGGCUGCCAGACCUAGCUCGUCCUGAUUAGUAUGGACAUGAACUGACGCAAGAUUAAUUGCCCGUGCAACAUCCUCAUUAUCCAGAGGCUCUGAGGCGUCAACCUUUGGCAGUGACGAGGAUGACUCCGCGUCUGAUCUUUCAUCUCUAGUUUGUUCAUCCAUGGGAUCAAAAUCUGCAUUUAUAGUUUGUCGAGCCACUUUUCUCAACCGUGUAAGUGCCCCAUAGCGUUCUGCAAUUUGUUGGACCUGAUUCUGAUCAGCAGGAAGACGAGAACUAAUACUGGCAUAAGGUCUGCUAUACUCACUUGCGCGUAACAAAAUUUUAUCUUCCGGAGUUUUAUCACCCCUUGAUGUCAGCGGAAGACAUGAUGCUGUUACCAUCGCACCACUCCUCUGUUUUAUCACAGCAUGCUUUCUUACAUGUUCUUUUGCACAGGGUGAAUUUCUCAUGAAUGAUGGAGUAGGAUUAGGCAGGAUUUCCUCGUCUGACGAGUAAGAGAACUCAUGACGAACAAGUGGCGGCUCCCACUCUGAAUCUGAAUUUUGCACCGACCGGACUGUCGCCAUACGACAUGCCACAUUAUUAAUCAUGUUGCCAGAUCGCCUUCUUCCAUUCCCAUCAUUCCUGAACCUAGUAGUGUUUGAUCCGUUAUCUCGAGGGAUCAACGCAUUAUUUGAUCCUUGUGGAGCUGAAUGAGAACCACCUCUUGGCCUUUCUGUACUGAGGUUCCUUUGCUCAACCCUUAGUGGUUUGGGAGCCAGAUGCUCUAUCAAUGCAUUAUAUCUCUCAUUUCUUUUCAAAUUUGGAGAGAUCUGAAGUGUUACACUUUCAUUAUCCUUAUAAAUUCGGCCAUCAGCCCUCACACGGACCUGCACGUGUCUUAGCACCAAAUCUUGCAAUUCUUGAUACAUCGCUUCACGAGUCCUCCUCCUUCUCUCACGUUUACGCUGAUUAACUGUCGAUGCAUAAGGGACCCUUGGGGUUGCAUCAAAGGUCGGUGCCCCCCGUGAAUACCUUGCAUGUUUCCAAGGUGCUGCCGUCAUGGGGUCAUGUUUCCUUGGUAGAGCAAACUGCUGCGGAACCCGGUUUGAGGACUCAAUGUUUUGCGAAGAUGCUUUCACUCGCCACUGAGGCUUGUAUCUUCUUGUUUUAGGCAGAGGGUGACAACGAUCUCGACGAUUCCCAUGUGGCCAGGGAGUGUUUUCACGAUAAUGAGCGUAUGCGGAUAAUGGUCUGUUCCUAGGUGGAAGAUGCUGAUGUUCAUUUUGAAGUCUACUUUGCAUUGCUCUAAUCUGAUGUUGCAUCUGUUCUAACUGAAGUCGGAGUUCCUCUGCUCUGGGCGCUGGUGUUUCAUUGGUUAGAACAGCAAACCUGUUAUUGUUCUGCGAAGUAGAGUGAUGUCUCUCUGAGGUCUGGAAACAAGGUACCCGUACUUGUUGAUCCCGACUGAUAGAACUUCGUUGAGAACACAAUCUUGGCCAUGUUCGCUCCUUAAUGAUGCGUCUCCAAAAUUCAUUCAUUAUGGUUUCUUUGACCAGCUCGCAACUGGCCCCUCGUUCAGGAGAAAGAACAAGAAACUCAUCGCUCAUAUCAGUGUACUGUUGAUCCUGACGCCUACUCACAUCUGAACUCUCAGGUGGUGCAUCACGCCCGGCAACGCGAGCCCUUAAAUGUGACUGCAACUUCUUCACUUGUUGCCUCUUCCUUCUGUAAUUGCGGUGUGCGUUCUUUUUGUUCAGAGUUCGAGCACGUGCAAUACUAGAAUUCAGGUGUUGCUUGACGUUUUCCAGUUCUUGAAGGAGUUCAGCUUCGGUAGUAUGUGUAGUUUUGGUUUUGAACACUGAGAGGCGUUGCUUAUAGCCGGUGUUCAGAACGGCUCCUGGGAAUUUCAGUAACUUCCUAGCAUCCGUCAUUAAUGCUUGACACUCUCCCCUAGCCCUUGCAUCCACGUACUUCUGAACUUUCUUGGCGUCAUCUAAGUCUGAGGAGUGGUCUGCCUGGUACACAUACAUGUUGGAGCCAAAGCUUGAAACUACAACUGGUGGUAAUGAACCAAACCAAAAAACAAAAGGCUCCAUUUGCUUUGCGUCAGCCUUCGGUCCAUAGUUGGUGAAGCCCCCAUCUGCACGAGAUGUACACUGGUUAGCACUUCACCACACCACAUUAUCAGCCAAAAAAAAAAGUGCCGAGGAGACAGAUCAUGAGUAGAUUCUGAUGACUGAUGACGAGCAGCGAAGAUGGGAGGAGAGUCGAGUCCCACUGGGCGUGCCAUUUGUUUUAAUGCGAGAUAAAUAUCAAAUUUAUCCGUGUUGGCGUUUUAAGUGCGGGCGUGCCAGUAGACGAGUGUAUACGAAUUAAAACAAAAUAAAAUAAAGCACACAAAAUUAUGCGGAGAAACUUGUAGUCUUUAUUGCUGAAGAUAUACAAAUCUCAUUUUUACAUGCUCUUGGUAUAGCAUCUGACAUAUAAAAGACAAUUGCGUAAUUCUCGACUCCUAGAACCUCGAAGGGAUCUCUAGUUAAUUACAUUCAUAGCAUAUCUAUGAAAGACCUCCGAUUAAGCUGCCUCAAACGGUCAUCAUCAUUAUCAAACUCCUGGCUUCUGUCUCCAAGGCAAAAAGAAUAUGCAAACGCUCUGAGCAAAAAAAAAUAAUCUCGCCAUGCUAAAAAUUUAUGGAUUCAUGCACCAAAUCAAACAAGGGAUAUAGAUCAAGUCUCAAAGAGAAAAUAAAGUGGAUCGUUCGGCCUCAUCGGUCACGAACAUGGUGUAUCCUGCCUCGUCGGCCAGGAAGUGUAUGUAAGUUUCGGCCUCGUCGGUCGCGGAAGAAAGUGUAUUGAGCAUGGACUUGAAGAUGAACCCUCAUCUGAUUGAGAAACAUGGUUCUGCAGAAUUUUGUCAAUGGCGUCUUGUUUAUUCCAGAGUAGGUAGCCAUGUCUUUAUUAAUAUUGGAUUAUCUCAUGAUGAGAAACCAUCCUUUGUAUAUCACGUGACCCCCUUGCUACCUCUGAAUAUAUGAAUAUGUAUGCUGAACGAUGAUGUUGACUUUUUUUUACAGCUAUAUUGCUUUCCCUUGUAACUCCAUACCAUGAAAUGUUUACGGCGACGAUUGAAGCGUCAGGUAGAGCCACGAAACAUCAUAACCUUCCCUUUUCCUUUUACUGAUCAAACCAUAAACAUCCGUGGCGACGACUUGAUCGCCAUGUAGAGCCACGGGAUGCCAUCAAACUGUUUUUCUGUAGAUCGGGUGAUAGAACGUCCGCGGCGACGAUUAGAUCGUCAUGUAGAGUCGCGGAUGCCGCCGAAUUCUUUCUAUAGAUCAAACAAGGAAACACCCGCGACGGCGAUUAGAUCGCCAUGUAGAGCCGCGGGACACCGCCGAUUUUUGUUGUAGAUCAAACGAUGAGAUAUCCACGGCGACGACUAGAUCGUCAUGUAGAGCCGCGGGACACCGCCGAUUUUUGUUGUAGAUCAAACGAUGAGACAUCCACGGCGACGAUUAGAUCGCCAUGUAGAGCCGCGAGAUGCCACAAAAAGAAGUGAACAAAGAGAAGAAAAAUAAAUAAAAGAGAUAAAUGAUCAUAUGCAACCUUCAUAUGAUUUACUCACCAUAUGGCUGUGCCAUCGACGCCGGCCACGGAGGGAAACGCCAGACGAAAAAUGAAGAUGUGUGUAUGUGUGAGUGCUGGGAUGGAGAUGAUACGAAGUGUGUGUGUGUGUGUGUUGAAUGGUGGUGAGAUGAGCGUGUAAAUGGUGCG
rnacentral:lncRNA from 1 species